rnacentral:tRNA from 1 species
GCAUUAAUGGGGUAGUGGUAACCUGGGUCGUUGCCAUCUUAGAUGGAAGCACGUUCGACCCGCCGGGGGUUCGAUUCCCUCUUAAUGCA